CCUGGAUUAACCUGCUCUGACCACCAGGGACAUACGCUGCGACGACAAAAUGACGUCGCCUUCGGCUCUGUCCUAUGGACACCAAAUGUUAAAGGACCAAUGGACAAUGAUCUUUGGUACAGGACAUGCAAAGCAGGAAGAUACAUGGCUUUGGCCCCAUGAAGACAGCUGAUCACAGUUAGUGAGAUGACAGUGAAUGGACAAGUAUGGGCAGAUGUGAGAGAAUUCCCGCUAAGAUCUUCAUCAUGUGGAGGGUCAGAGUUCACCACUGUUGGACCAGAUAGACCUGCAGAGUUGCUUGGAAAUGCUUGGACAAUUCAUGCUUACGCUCUCAUCCAGCCUUCCCCUUGAGACAUUGCAGUUCGACAUUGUUUAGAGCCUGUGUCAUAAGAUGGAGUGCCCAAAGUGCCCAACAUCAUCCUGCCUCAUUCUCAGGACAAGACAUUUGAAGCCAUCUGCAGAUAUGUGCGCCUGAAAUUGAGCACUGAUGUAUGAUCUUCUGCUUAAGCAACAUGAAGCCUACUGCUCUUACCCAUAGGGGUUAUAAUGAUGAACUAUCACUCAAUGUGAUGUUAUAAUGUAGUCCGAUAUGAUGGCUAUUUCCUGAAGUUGUCCUUUGUUCUUUUUUUCUCUUUAGUUUAAGGCACUAUUCUUAAAGUCCAGCCUUAUCCAAUAAGGAUGAAUCAGUCCUUGUGACUUUGAUGUAAUGUGAAGAAUUGACAUUUAUUUAAUAUAGUCUCCCUGAUUCGCUUAAUUACUUGUUUCUCAGAUGAUAUGAUUAAAUGACUCAGGUUACUAUUGAUAGUCAUUCGUUUUGUCUUUGGAUGUAAUGUUAUGAAUUGAAAUUUAUUGAAUAUAAUCUAUCUUACUUGCUUAUUUUCUGUGUAUUUUUGUACAUCGUAAUAUAUAUGAAAUCAGAGUUCUAUUGCGCUAAUAAAUAUAAUUUUUAAUAAAUAUUUGACAAAAAAAAAAUUCUCAACUGUGCUGGGACUUGG